AUCCCUCUCGCGACGGUUGUCACAUUUUAUUCUGUCUGCUUGUCGAAAUGAAUGCAAUAGAGGGCUGUUUUUCCUCCGACGAUUAUUGUUACCAUUAAUUGCGAAUUAUAUUAUUUUGCCUUAUAAUCCCUUUAUAUAUCAAUGAAAAAAAUGCAUCAUAUUAUAACUGUAGUGUUAUUUGCCUUGCUAACUGUAUUUAUUGACAAUGCCGCGGCAUCGUGUAGAAAGGUGACAAAUGAAGAUAUGUUGGAAUAUGUCUGCGAAGGUGGUCACCCCGUUGAUUUGACCACUGUACCCGAAACAACCGAGAAAUUGCGGAUCAUCAGGAUGCCACUUCGCAGAAUAACUGCUGAUACGUUCUCGAGAUUCGGCGGGAAUCUUUGGGUAUUGAGUUGCUCGCAUUGCGAGAUUACCGAUAUCGAUGCAGACGCCUUUCGACGUCUCAUUAAUCUCCAGCAACUCAGCUUAGACAGCAACCGCUUAACUACCGUCAGAGCGUCGUGGUUCGAAGGAUUAAACUCUCUGACGUAUCUCGAUCUCAACUACAAUGACAUACGUGACAUUGAAGACGGCGUCUAUACGAAUCUACCCAGUCUCGUGGACCUAAGGAUCUCAGGAAAUCGAUUGCAAUGUUUGAAUCUCGACGAGAUGUCAUACUUGAAGGAACUGAAGCGCAUAUUCCUCAGCGAGAAUUCCGACUUUGCCUGCCCACAUGCUGUCAGCAAGUUUCUUGAGAAUCAGGGUGUUGCUUUUGAACAAGAUCCCGAGUGGAGAAGACUCACUAGUGACACAAUCGACGUUCAUGUCCCACCGAUUCACGUGGAAGAAGAUACAGAAAUCGUGCCAGCGCAUCGCGAAAGAUUACAUCCCGGUAGGAAACCGCCUCCAGAAGAAUCGGAAGAAUCUUACGGGAUGAGAGACAAGACACCAUUUUAUCCACACCAUUCGGAGACAUACCGUUCACGCAACAGGAGACCAUUAACCACGACUAUACGAACGACGUCGAAGCAACAAGAGGAACAGUCUUUGCCGCAAGUGGAAUCGAGAUUUCCAGACACAAGACCCUCGCAUAUACCAUCGGAAUUAUCAUCGCAUCAGGUAAUGUCUUACCCAUUUUCAACACCAGAAACGCCGCGAGCACCGCCCGCCGAAGACAUCAAGAUGGCAGGAACUGACGGACCAUCGCGAACGGAACACACCUUUAUGUAUCCACCACAGCCUACACACGAAACGACAUCUUAUUGGCCAUAUCCAACGCAGGAAACAUCGCGAGAAUCACCCGUAACGUUAUCGGAUGUAUAUACCAGGAUAAUGGGAACUGAUAGACCACGGCAAAUGGAAGGCAUAUCAACACACCCGUCGUACAUUCCACCGCAUGAAACGAUGCCUUAUCCAUCGUAUCCCACGUCAGAGAGAUCCCAAGUAGGAUCUUCAUUGGACAACACGAUAGGACAAUCCGGCAGAUCAUCGCAAGCUGGAAACACUGUAACGUAUCCUCUACAUGUUACAACAUCCAACGGUCUGGAAAAUGUGCCGCACGGAUCCAUUCAAAUGACCGGUCUUUUGGACAUGGAUGAUAUUUGGUACACAGAUAACUCGGAUGAGCUUCCGCCCGAAUUUGACGAACAAUUUCACCGUCCUACUGAGGGGAGUGACAGAGUGACGUCAACGAAAACACCAUAUUACGGACACGAUCCACGUAAAAUGAUAGUCGAAGAACCACCAUUGACUGAUGACGACCUGUUUGUCGCCACGGAUCAACCUAUUGAAUACGAUCGAUUGCGAACUACGACGGCAUCUAACACGCAUUAUGUCAGACCUUCACCACCGGAACUGAUAGACUCUGCGACGGACGAGUUAUACCAUGUUUCGUACGGUGGUGAUCCGUCCAUCAUCACGCGUCCACCGUUGCAAAAUUAUCAGGAUAAUAACGGCGCGUCUAUAGGCGUUCGUCCUAUAGAUACGACGGACAAGUCACUUCCCGAAUGUCCGGAGAAUUCGGCACCGGAGAUGGAAUCAGCUGCUGCACUAGUGACGUUUGUUGUUGUCGCUGUUCUUGGGCACACCGUCGUGGGAAGAUUUUAGAGCGCGCCUUCUUCUUUAUCGUCCAGAUGAGCGAGAUAGAUCGCACAGAUAAUUUAAAAUUAGAUUACGCAGAAGAAAAUCGAACUUACAUCUCUCUUAUCUAAGGAACGCAUGCACUGUGUUGUGACCUGGACUUUUAAGCGCGCAUUUAUGUAUUUAACAUUGUAACUUGUCUCCUCAUAGCAUUUCCCCAAAGACGCUUCAUAGAAUUGUUAACCAGAUUCAGAUAACUAGCAAGAGAGUGAUCAAGAUGGAUGAAACUUUCUUCGGAAUUGAAAAUUUCUCCGGAAAUGACAAAACCAGCUAAACCUGAUGCUGGGCCAAGGAAGCGGCGGAAGCUGAACGCCUGGAGAAGAUGUUGAAGAUCGAGAACGAA